rnacentral:rRNA from 1 species
GGGUUGUGAGGUUAAGCGACUAAGCGUACACGGUGGAUGCCCUGGCAGUCAGAGGCGAUGAAGGACGUGCUAAUCUGCGAUAAGCGUCGGUAAGGUGAUAUGAACCGUUAUAACCGGCGAUUUCCGAAUGGGGAAACCCAGUGUGAUUCGUCACACUAUCAUUAACUGAAUCCAUAGGUUAAUGAGGCGAACCGGGGGAACUGAAACAUCUAAGUACCCCGAGGAAAAGAAAUCAACCGAGAUUCCCCCCAGUAGCGGCGAGCGAACGGGGAGCAGCCCAGAGCCUGAAUCAGUGUGUGUGUUAGUGGAAGCGUCUGGAAAGGCGCGCGAUACAGGGUGACAGCCCCGUACACAAAAAUGCACAUAUUGUGAGCUCGAUGAGUAGGGCGGGACACGUGGUAUCCUGUCUGAAUAUGGGGGGCCCAUCCUCCAAGGCUAAAUACUCCUGACUGACCGAUAGUGAACCAGUACCGUGAGGGAAAGGCGAAAAGAACCCCGGCGAGGGGAGUGAAAAAGAACCUGAAACCGUGUACGUACAAGCAGUGGGAGCACGCUUAGGCGUGUGACUGCGUACCUUUUGUAUAAUGGGUCAGCGACUUAUAUUCUGUAGCAAGGUUAACCGAAUAGGGGAGCCGAAGGGAAACCGAGUCUUAACUGGGCGUUAAGUUGCAGGGUAUAGACCCGAAACCCGGUGAUCUAGCCAUGGGCAGGUUGAAGGUUGGGUAACACUAACUGGAGGACCGAACCGACUAAUGUUGAAAAAUUAGCGGAUGACUUGUGGCUGGGGGUGAAAGGCCAAUCAAACCGGGAGAUAGCUGGUUCUCCCCGAAAGCUAUUUAGGUAGCGCCUCGUGAAUUCAUCUCCGGGGGUAGAGCACUGUUUCGGCAAGGGGGUCAUCCCGACUUACCAACCCGAUGCAAACUGCGAAUACCGGAGAAUGUUAUCACGGGAGACACACGGCGGGUGCUAACGUCCGUCGUGAAGAGGGAAACAACCCAGACCGCCAGCUAAGGUCCCAAAGUCAUGGUUAAGUGGGAAACGAUGUGGGAAGGCCCAGACAGCCAGGAUGUUGGCUUAGAAGCAGCCAUCAUUUAAAGAAAGCGUAAUAGCUCACUGGUCGAGUCGGCCUGCGCGGAAGAUGUAACGGGGCUAAACCAUGCACCGAAGCUGCGGCAGCGACGCUUAUGCGUUGUUGGGUAGGGGAGCGUUCUGUAAGCCUGCGAAGGUGUGCUGUGAGGCAUGCUGGAGGUAUCAGAAGUGCGAAUGCUGACAUAAGUAACGAUAAAGCGGGUGAAAAGCCCGCUCGCCGGAAGACCAAGGGUUCCUGUCCAACGUUAAUCGGGGCAGGGUGAGUCGACCCCUAAGGCGAGGCCGAAAGGCGUAGUCGAUGGGAAACAGGUUAAUAUUCCUGUACUUGGUGUUACUGCGAAGGGGGGGACGGAGAAGGCUAUGUUGGCCGGGCGACGGUUGUCCCGGUUUAAGCGUGUAGGCUGGUUUUCCAGGCAAAUCCGGAAAAUCAAGGCUGAGGCGUGAUGACGAGGCACUACGGUGCUGAAGCAACAAAUGCCCUGCUUCCAGGAAAAGCCUCUAAGCAUCAGGUAACAUCAAAUCGUACCCCAAACCGACACAGGUGGUCAGGUAGAGAAUACCAAGGCGCUUGAGAGAACUCGGGUGAAGGAACUAGGCAAAAUGGUGCCGUAACUUCGGGAGAAGGCACGCUGAUAUGUAGGUGAAGUCCCUUGCGGAUGGAGCUGAAAUCAGUCGAAGAUACCAGCUGGCUGCAACUGUUUAUUAAAAACACAGCACUGUGCAAACACGAAAGUGGACGUAUACGGUGUGACGCCUGCCCGGUGCCGGAAGGUUAAUUGAUGGGGUCAGCGCAAGCGAAGCUCUUGAUCGAAGCCCCGGUAAACGGCGGCCGUAACUAUAACGGUCCUAAGGUAGCGAAAUUCCUUGUCGGGUAAGUUCCGACCUGCACGAAUGGCGUAAUGAUGGCCAGGCUGUCUCCACCCGAGACUCAGUGAAAUUGAACUCGCUGUGAAGAUGCAGUGUACCCGCGGCAAGACGGAAAGACCCCGUGAACCUUUACUAUAGCUUGACACUGAACAUUGAGCCUUGAUGUGUAGGAUAGGUGGGAGGCUUUGAAGUGUGGACGCCAGUCUGCAUGGAGCCGGCCUUGAAAUACCACCCUUUAAUGUUUGAUGUUCUAACGUGGACCCGUGAUCCGGGUUGCGGACAGUGUCUGGUGGGUAGUUUGACUGGGGCGGUCUCCUCCUAAAGAGUAACGGAGGAGCACGAAGGUUGGCUAAUCCCUGGUCGGACAUCAGGAGGUUAGUGCAAUGGCAUAAGCCAGCUUGACUGCGAGCGUGACGGCGCGAGCAGGUGCGAAAGCAGGUCAUAGUGAUCCGGUGGUUCUGAAUGGAAGGGCCAUCGCUCAACGGAUAAAAGGUACUCCGGGGAUAACAGGCUGAUACCGCCCAAGAGUUCAUAUCGACGGCGGUGUUUGGCACCUCGAUGUCGGCUCAUCACAUCCUGGGGCUGAAGUAGGUCCCAAGGGUAUGGCUGUUCGCCAUUUAAAGUGGUACGCGAGCUGGGUUUAGAACGUCGUGAGACAGUUCGGUCCCUAUCUGCCGUGGGCGCUGGAGAACUGAGGGGGGGCUGCUCCUAGUACGAGAGGACCGGAGUGGACGCAUCACUGGUGUUCGGGUUGUCAUGCCAAUGGCACUGCCCGGUAGCUAAAUGCGGAAGAGAUAAGUGCUGAAAGCAUCUAAGCACGAAACUUGCCCCGAGAUGAGUUCUCCCUGACCCUUUAAGGGUCCUGAAGGAACGUUGAAGACGACGACGUUGAUAGGCCGGGUGUGUAAGCGCAGCGAUGCGUUGAGCUAACCGGUACUAAUGAACCGUGAGGCUUAACCUUACAACGCCGAAG